GUGCUCAUUCUGCACUUCGAAUGACGUGACAAAAGUCGAGUCGAACGUCUCACCCGAUUCCCGUAGUCGAAUGCGGUGAGAAGAGUCGGUGUGAGUGAACACCGAUGAACUCUCACCGCAUUCUCAUAGUCGAUUUUGAUCGACAAAUGUCGCUUUCAAGUGACGUUUGCGGGUGAGAAGAGUCGCAACCUCAGGAGGUGUCGAGAGCUCAAUCGACACCAAAUAAAAACAACAAAUUGUACAUAAUUGAUGAAAUCGUACCGACUGACUGCUGGAGAGGUGACCAAAUCCACCACCACUACAGCACACUCUUCGCGCUGUUCCGAUAGAAAAGCCUCAAAGUUGCUGUUACACCAGAAGCGUCGGAUGGCCGCUUAAUUCGGAAAUCACUUCUGCUCGCCGUUCGGAACCUGCAAAAUGUGGAACCGUGGACUUAAAUGCACUAUUUUUUUUUUCGAAUGAUAGCAUCCGCUUGCUGAAACUAAAGCGCUGACUAAGUUAGAGGGCUGUAUUGGCACAAAUGGCUGGCAUGAAAUUAGAGCAAAGAUCUACGUUUACUGUGUAAAGCCUGUCCACGUUAAAUUUCGGACACCGAACCGCUAGUAUUUCAAACAAUCCAGUGUCGAAACAUGCAAACCUCGAUGUUUCCCGUAUAAUUCAGAACCUAACUUCGAGAACUUACUUUGGUUGAUUCAAAUGUGUUCAUAUUCGACAGUUAUGACAUUUCCAAAAAAUGUGAUGAAAAUGGAUUUUGUAAAAUUGUGUUAAAUAUAUUAGAAGGUACAGUCCAAUAUCAUCAGAAAUGAACUCCAUUGUUUCAUCAACUAUUUCUGAAGUGGAUUUAUUUUAACGUACUAGUCCUGAAGAAUUACUUACGAGAUAGAAGAUGUUUGUUUUUAAAACCUAUAACAGGAUUUUUUGUACGUUAACAAAAAUAACAAAAUGGUUUUUCGCAUACUUCGUAAACCUUCGUAAACCAUAGAUGGAACCGAAGAAUAUGAAACUCUAGGACACAAAACUGCCACUCUAAAGAAGUUACAGGCAUCCUGAAACAAAAAAAAAUGUUCAAGUUUUGAUUUGUCGCUGUAAUUGUCAAAAAUCUAUCGAAUAACGUAAAUCUAUUUUAUAAUGAGUGAAAAAAUACAAAUUUCCUAAAUUUUGAA